rnacentral:rRNA from 1 species
GAUGAACGCUGGCGGCGUGCUUAACACAUGCAAGUCGAACGGUGAAGCAGGAGCUUGCUCUUGUGGAUCAGUGGCGAACGGGUGAGUAACACGUGAGCAUCCUGCCCCUGACUCUGGGAUAAGCGCUGGAAACGGCGUCUAAUACUGGAUAUGUGAUGUGACCGCAUGGUCUGCAUCUGGAAAGAAUUUCGGUUGGGGAUGGGCUCGCGGCCUAUCAGCUUGUUGGUGAGGUAAUGGCUCACCAAGGCGUCGACGGGUAGCCGGCCUGAGAGGGUGACCUGCCAAACUGGGACUGAGACACGGCCCAGAAUCCGACGGGAGGCAGCAGUGGGGAAUAUUGCACAAUGGGCGGAAGCCUGAUGCAGCAACGCCGCGUGAGGGAUGACGGCCUUCGGGUUGUAAACCUCUUUUAGCAGGGAAGUAGCGAAAGUGACGGUACCUGCAGAAAAAGCACCGGCUAACUACGUGCCAGCCGCCGCGGUAA